GCGAAGGCAGCUUGCUGGACUNUAACUGACGCUGAGGCACGAAAGCGUGGGGAUCAAACAGGAUUAGAUACCCUGGUANNCCACGCNGUAAACGAUGAAUGCUAGCUGUUAGCGAUAUACUGUUAGCGGCACAGAGAAAUCGUUAAGCAUUCCACCUGGGGAGUACGCCGGCAACGGUGAAACUCAAAGGAAUUGACGGGGGCCCGCACAAGCGGAGGAACAUGUGGUUUAAUUCGAUGAUACGCGAGGAACCUUACCUGGGCUUAAAUUGCAGUGGAAUAACGUGGAAACAUGUUAGCCUUCGGGCCGCUGUGAAGGUGCUGCAUGGUUGUCGUCAGCUCGUGCCGUGAGGUGUCGGCUUAAGUGCCAUAACGAGCGCAACCCUCAUCGAUAGUUACUAACAGGUUAAGCUGAGGACUCUAUCGAGACUGCCGACGUAAGUCGUGAGGAAGGUGGGGAUGACGUCAAAUCAGCACGGCCCUUACGUCCAGGGCUACACACGUGUUACAAUGGGGGGUACAAAGGGCAGCUACCUGGCGACAGGAUGCUAAUCUCAAAAACCUCUCUCAGUUCGGAUUGGAGUCUGCAACCCGACUCCAUGAAGCUGGAUUCGCUAGUAAUCGCGCAUCAGCCACGGCGCGGUGAAUACGUUCCCGGGCCUUGUACACACCGCCCGUCAAGCCAUGGGAGCCGGGGGGACCUGAAGUAUGCAACCGUAAGGAGCGUCCUAGGGUAAAACUGGUGACUGGGGCU
rnacentral:rRNA from 1 species